UGACUGUAGAGGUCGCCGGAGCGGUAGGAUACUGUAAGAUUACGUCAGUAAAGAUGGAAGCGCGUAGUCAGACGCUGGAGCUGAGCGAAGUCCAAAAAGAAGAGGAAGAAGUGGAUCAUGAAUAUUUUUCUUCCCUAUUCCAAACUAUUCUGGAGUUCUGAAGGAAGAAAAGUAUGAGGAAAUGUCGGAGUCUCCUCUGCCUGCAGGAGAGAGCCCAACCUCUACCUCUGACAGCGGAAUGAGUUGUUCUGCAGCAGGGGAGCCAGACCUUUACAAGACCAAACCAGAUAAAACAUAUGACUGCUCCCAGUGUGGAAAAAGAUUCUCACAACUAUCAAACCUGAAAUUCCAUUGCACAAUUUAUACAGGAGAGAAGCCUCAUAUCUGUGAUCAGUGUGGGAAGAGUUUCUCGAGACCAAAACAUCUGAAAAAACAUAAGACAAUUUAUACAGGAGAGAAACCACACAUAUGCUCUUUGUGUGGAAAGGGAUUUUCCUUGAAACAUCACCUAACAUCUCACAAUAGAGUUCAUAGUUUGAAAAUACCUAGUGGUAUUUUGGAGAAACCUUACCACUGCUUUGACUGUGGCAAAGACUUUGUCAUCAGGCUUCGUAGUCCACCAAAGAAUACAUAUAGGUGUGAAACCCUACCAUUGCAUACAAUGCGGAAAAGGCUUCUCUAACUCUGGAAACCUGAAUUUGCAUGAAAGAAUACAUACAGGAGAGAAGCCUUACAUCUGCCUGUGUGGUAAGGGUUUCUCACAUUUAGGUAACAUGAAAUAACACCAGCGGGUGCAUAGUGGAGACAAACUUUACCGAUGCUCAGAGUGCGAUAAGAGUUUUUCCCACCGCCCAAAACUUCAAGUUCAUCAGCUUAUUCACAGUGUACACCCUCCGCCUGCUAGUGUGUGCUCUGUGUGUAGUAAAGUGUUUUCACGGGUAGAUCGCAUGAAGGAGAAUUACCAAAGUUUGCACAGUUCCGAGAAACCUCACUACUGCUCAGACUACGGGAAACGCUUCUCUUCAACUGGAGAUCUAAGAAGGCACAAGAGAGGCCACACCGGAGUGAAACCUUACGAAUGCCCCCAGUGUGGAAAGAAAAGUGCCUUUUCAUCGAUUAUGAAAAAACACGCGGGUUCACACUGGAGAGAAACCUUACCACUGCGCCAAGUGUGGGGGGGGUUUCUCUCAGUCAAGCAGCCUAAAGCAACAUCAGUGCAGCAUGCACACCUUUUAGAAAGGAAAAUACACUAGAACGAUGCACGGUCCAACUGCUUCUGACCAGAAUAUUGUCAGUUAUUUUUUGUUAAUUUACCCGACGAUUCUACAUGUUGAAUCGUUGCAAACAGCUGUCGUUCGCCAGGCACCCAGCAGAUAGUCACUAUAACACACCAUGGUGACAGUAAGUGAUAGGACGACCAUCCGCUGCUUUAACCGUUAAUAGUCGCUGUGUGACUGAGCCUUAAAACCUUUCCAUUUUCCAGUGCUCUGACUCUGCAAAGUGAGAGUUUCAUUCAAAGUAGAUAGUAGGUGCAACAUUAAAAGGUGCAUAGUGAGGGAGAAGCCUCAUAGCUGCUCCAACUCUGGGAAGACUGUCUUGUUUUCAAUGACUCUAAAGGUUCACCAGCUCUCUCUGUCUAUGUCUCUCUCUCAGAACAGGAGCCUUCCCAUUAAUGCAGUGUGGAGAAGGUUUCUCAUUGCUAUGCUUUGUAUGCACUCUCAAAAUGAAUUGACUGAUGAUGAUGAUGAUGAUAAGAAAUGGUUGCUCUUGGUCAGAUUAUUUUCCAUAUAAAUGAGCUUUUCUCACUUUGUUGCUUUGUAUGCUGUGUCAAAAUGUAUUUCUGGAGAAAGGUUUUACAUCCUACUGGACACUGGUUGAAUCAACAUUGUUUGCACGUUAUUUCAAUGAAUUGAAGUUGAACCAACAUGGAAUGGAUGUUGAAUUGAUGUCUGUGACAAUAAGGAUUGUGAUGAUGAUGAAAUGUGUUUCGAUUUGUUUUCCUUCUAAAUGAGAUGCUACCUUUAAAGGUAAUAGGUUGAUGAUUGGCAUAUAUUCCAACAUUUGUGUAAUUUAAGGUUCAAUAAAUGUAAAAUGACAUCA